AGAGUUGAUCCUGGCUUAGGAUGAACGCUAGCUACAGGCUUAACACAUGCAAGUCGAGGGGCAUCAUGGAGUUGCUUGCAAACUCUGAUGGCGACCGGCGCACGGGUGAGUAACGCGUAUCCAACCUUCCCUAUAGUAGAGGAUAGCCCGGCGAAAGUCGGAUUAAUACUCUAUGUUUUCCGUUGCAGACAUCUAAGAUGGAACAAAGGCUUGCCGCUAUAGGAUGGGGAUGCGUCUGAUUAGGUAGUCGGCGGGGUAACGGCCCACCGAGCCAUCGAUCAGUAGGGGUUCUGAGAGGAAGGUCCCCCACAUUGGAACUGAGACACGGUCCAAACUCCUACGGGAGGCAGCAGUGAGGAAUAUUGGUCAAUGGGCGAGAGCCUGAACCAGCCAAGUAGCGUGCAGGACGACGGCCCUAUGGGUUGUAAACUGCUUUUAUGCGGGGAUAAAGUUCACUACGUGUAGUGUUUUGUAGGUACCGCAUGAAUAAGGACCGGCUAAUUCCGUGCCAGCCGCAGC
rnacentral:rRNA from 1 species